rnacentral:ribozyme from 13 species
GGAGAGAGAGAGGAAGAAAAGGAGGAAGAAGGAGAAGGGCAGAGAUCAAAGUCACAGAUAGCAAUUUUUUUAUUGUAUGUUUGUUCGGAUUCUUUUGAUGGUUCAAAUGAGGGGUGGAAGAGUUCUUUCUGGAGAGAGGGAGGAGAAGAAGAGAUGGACCAUACACGGACACAGCCAUCGAAUCCACCUGUAAAUAAUCUUUCUUUGUCAAAAAUUU